rnacentral:rRNA from 1 species
UACGGAGGGUGCUAGCGUUGUUCGGAAUCACUGGGCGUAAAGCGCGUGUAGGCGGCCCACUAAGUCUGAUGUGAAAGCCCGGGGCUCACCCCCGGAAGUGCAUUGGAAACUGGUGGACUCGAGUCCCGGAGAGGAGGGUGGAAUUCCUGGUGUAGCGGUGAAAUGCGUAGAUAUCAGGAGGAACACCGGUGGCGAAGGCGGCCCUCUGGAUGGUGACUGACGCUGAGACGCGAAAGCGUGGGGAGCGAACAGG